GCUAACGUCUCCGAUUCAGUAUGAUUCUCGCUUAGGGUGCGAGAGGUCCCAGGUUCGAUCCCUGGAUUGCGCC